rnacentral:rRNA from 1 species
GACCGGAUCUGCAGUCGACGAUUCCUACGGGAGGCAGCAGCAGGGAAUUUUGCACAAUGGGCGAAAGCCUGAUGCAGCGACGCCGCGUGCGGGAUGAAUGCCUUCGGGUUGUAAACCGCUUUCAGGAGGGACGAAGCGAAAGUGACGGUACCUCCAGAAGAAGCCCCGGCCAACUACGUGCCAGCAGCCGCGGUAAUACGUAGGGGGCGAACGUUGUCCGGAUUUAUUGGGCGUAAAGAGCUCGUAGGCGGCUCAGCAAGUCGGCCGUGAAAACCCGGGGCUCAACCCCGGGACGCCGGUCGAAACUGCUGUGGCUAGGGUCCGGUAGAGGAGAGUGGAAUUCCCGGUGUAGCGGUGGAAUGCGCAGAUAUCGGGAGGAACACCAGUAGCGAAGGCGGCUCUCUGGGCCGGUACCGACGCUGAGGAGCGAAAGCUAGGGGAGCGAACAGGAUUAGAUACCCUGGUAGUCCUAGCCGUAAACGUUGGGCACUAGGUGUGGCGGACUCAUUGACGUCUGCCGUGCCGCAGCUAACGCAUUAAGUGCCCCGCCUGGGGAGUACGGUCGCAAGGCUAAAACUCAAAGGAAUUGACGG